rnacentral:lncRNA from 1 species
UGUGGGGAUCUCAUGCAUGGUAAUAACUACAUGUAUAUACAACUUGCAUCCUUGGCACAAAGUUAUUAUAUUCUACUCAAUCCAUAGGCGUCAUUAAUGUCAUCCAGACUGUUUUGAAGUUGAUACAACUGGCUAUGAUAGGCUCCUGAGUGGCGCAGUGGUCUAAGACACUGCAUCCCAGUGCAAGAGGCGUCACCGCAGAACCUGGUUCGAAUCCAUCACAUCUGGCCUUGAUUGGAAGUCCCAUAGGGCGGCCCAGCGUCGCAGGGGUAGGCCCUCAUUAGAUUCAUGAAUGAAACCGGGGAUGCAGUAAAGAGGUUCUCUGACCAAUUAUCCGCCACCUCCCUCAUGACCUGGAAAAAUAGACUGACUCUCGAUAGGUUACGGGCAAAGAGGGCGGUGUAAGUAGAAUGAUUAGGUUCAUUACUGUACGUACAUUUCUGAUAACACAGCUCAUGUUUGGGAAAUGGAAAAGUGUUGCAAGAACUGUAUUAUGGGCUGCUUUCACCUGUAUGAGUGUGUUUGGGUUGUGUGGUUGUUGUUUGGUCCCGUGUGCGAGAGGUUUAAUCACCAGAACUCUAGAGAGAUGGACAACGGAGCAGAUGGUGAGCUACGGACCGAGUCAAAGUUCAGACCAAUGAGACAAGUACCUACUGCCGAGCAAGGUGGAGGAUUCAUUCAAAUAUGAGGAGCACAUGU